AUGGGAAUGGAGAGCACUGGAGAAGUAAUAUUAAAAGUCCAAGGAAGCCACAUUGUUAGAUCAACAGGUAGAAAAGAUAGACACAGUAAGGUAUAUAUAGACUACAAGGAAUCCCAAGUAAAACAUAAUUCCAGAUUAUCUCAUUUAACUUCUCAAUCAGCAAACCCAAGAUUUAGUAAUUUAACUUACUCAGCCAAUUACAUUUCUUCUGGUCAAGCAGCACGUUUAACAACGGAUUUACAAGAAACUAGACACCGACGUAAGUAA